ensembl:snoRNA Gm22620 small nucleolar RNA SNORA1
AGCCUCAUUCUAUAUAAGAAUGGGCACUGUCAGUGUCCAGAACUGGUGAAUGUGGCGAAAUUGAGACACAGGCCAUGCUUCCAUCACAGUACAUAUGUUACAGUGGUGACAAUGAGACCUGUAACAUUU